CACACACUCCUUAGAUCCACCUCUGGGGAGUCUUCCAUCUCUGAGUGUCACAGCUCCCAGAUAGAAGACUCUCAACAGCUUUUCUGGCUGUACAGUUGGAGGUGCUUGAGUCAUUGGUGUGUGAGAGCAGUCUACCUGCUUCUUCAGCCCAGUAUUUACCCUGGCUCCCAUAGUGGAUUUCACCAGGGUAGACAAGCUGGAGGGCGGACAAG